UUUUUCUUGAUGUAAAGAACGGCAUACAUAUUGAAACGGGAUUGUCUUCAUUUUAACAAUUAAAUUAAAUAUAUUUCUCAUUUCUUUUACUAAGGGUACGCAAGAAUACGAGGGCAUCUUGAAUUCGGCUUCUUGCUCGUUUGGUUUUCAGUAUGACUUGAUGCAUUUUCCAAGGAUUGCAGAACAGGUGGGAGAUCAUUAUUUUAAAUCAUAUACUUUUUAUUCACGCUCAAUUGAAUAUUCAAAAAAAGGAGAACUUCAGAAAUUUUGGCUGCGUUUUGCUAUUGGCGAUACACAAGUUGAAUGUACCUUAAAACUAAGAGGAACAUAAUUUUUUUACCAAUUUUAAUAAUCCUGCUUCUCAAGCGGUUGUUGCCUUGUGUGACUAAAAAAAAGCUUCAAAGUGUUUCUGUUCUUGACGCACUGAUUCAUGCAGAAGUUAGAGUAGAUGAAAUUAGCAUGAAAGCAAAGUAAAAAAAAACUCAUCUAAAUUAAAGAUUCUUAACUCUCAGCUCUAUAAAUUUAUCUUUCCAUCUUGUGUCUUAUAGCAGUCCAUCGGGAAGCUUGU